rnacentral:lncRNA from 1 species
UUCCCACAACACCCUGGCAGCUGUCUACCCUCUAGCAACCAGCCACUGAGGUUUCAGCAGCUUCAACAACCUCCAGCUCUGAUCUCUGCCUCCUCAGCUCAGCAGAACGGCUGUGCUUUGCUUGGGCUCCAACUCCUGGUGUGGGUCAGAAAAUUACCUUCAGGCAGAGUUUCAAAGCAGUUAUGGGGCUCGCCUCAUGGGUUUCUCUUCUCUCAUGGAUUGCAUUCUUAUAAUUCUGUUUUCUAUUGCCUAGAAAGGAUUGCCCAGGAUAUUUUGGCUAGUUGUUUAUAGAAGAAGACCUGGUCCUGCUGAUGUUAGAAGCUGAGGUCUCUAAAUUCUUUCUAUACAUUCCUUUUUAUUUUUCUGUUUCUCUUCUUAACCUUAUUGUGUUAAUUUUCUCUUAUUCAUUAUUUUUUCACUUAUUCUUUAAAUUCUCAGAACUAUUUACUUUUAUGUUUUAAUUAAAAAGUUUUCUCUCUGAAUUCUUAUUUUUUAUUUUAGUAAUGAAUAUACAUAUGUAUGUGUAUAUAUAUAUAAUUUUCCAUAUGGAUGGAAACAAAUUCCAUUCAUUUCAACAAACUAUUAAUCAAAACAUAAAGAAAAGGUAUCAUUAUUAAAUGCUUUAAUGUCUAUUCAAUUUUGAAAUUCCUUUUUAAAUAUUUCCGGUCAGUAGUAAUAUAUGUAGAGGUUUCUCUUAUGAGAACAUGGGUAAUAUUUAAGCAAACAGUACUCUUUAUGAGGUUUUCCUUUAGCCUGGUUUCUUCUAACUAAUGGCAAUAAAAUUAUCAUUACAGUAUGCUGGCAGGCUGUUUCUAGUCCCCAGUGGCAUGCUUCAGAAGCCUUGGUGAGUUUUAUGUAUCUGGUAUAGCCAAGUGAGUCAUCUUCUGUAAUAUAUUCAGUGUCUGCUGGCCUCGGGACUGAGAGUCUGCUGAUGAACCUUGGCCUCUUGGUAACAGAAAUCAGCCUUUGAAUUAAGAGUUAUUAAUGACAUGCAUUAAGCAUCGGUUUCCAUUUCCUCCAGAGCGGAGAAAUCUCCUGGACAAGUUGCACAGUGUAUCUCAUUUACUGUGUUAAUUGUCUUUUAAUAAUGAUGCCUUUCUUUUUGUUGUGUUCACAAAUUUGAGUCAUUGUGUUCUGUGUUACAAAUAAAAGACACCACAGUUAAGAACUGUGAUAGAACUGGGAUAAAGGAAACACAUGACUUAAAAUAAGUAAUGCCAUCAUCAACUAACCAUCACUUGAUGGUAAAAUAAAUAGGUGUCCGGUUCUUCCUGGCUGAUUUAGGGUCUAGAAAACACAACUUGGCAUUGAAGUCUCUCCGAAAAGUCGAAGAAUGAGCAAAGGCAAUUAGAUCUGUCUUUUCUUACUCUAUAGGAUCAUUUUUGUCUGUUUUUUUCAGUUUAUUUUUCUUUGUUUUUAUUAGUUCUGUUAUCAUCAUCCAUACCAUCUAAUUUAUAUUAGAUGCAUCUUUAGGUUUUUAUUUUAACAAGUAAAAAAAUUCUUCUGACUCAUGGACUUGGAGAACAGACUUGUGGUUGCCAAGGGAGUGGGGGAGUGGGAUGGACUGGGAAUCUGAGGUUAAUAGAUGCAAACUAUUGCCUUUGGAAUGGAUAAGCAAUGAGAUCCCGAUGGAUAGCACUGGGAACUAUAUCUAGUCACUUGUGAUGGAGCAUGGUGGAGGAUAAAAUGAGAAAGUGAAUGUAUAUGUAUGUGUGUGUAACUAGGUCACUUUGCUGUACAGUAAAAAAUUGACAGUACACUGUAAGCCAACUAUAAUGGGAAAAAUAAAAAUCACUAAAAAAAUUUUAGGACAAAAAAAUCCUUCUGAAUGGAGGAUCACAUUUUUUUUUUAAUAGUUAUUCCCCAAUACAAUUUUUUUCCUACUGUACAGCAUGGGAGGGUCACCCUUGUAUUAGCACUCGCCCUUCACACACUGUAAGGAGUUCUUUUUUUUUUUUUUUUGUCUUUUUGCUAUUUCUUUGGCCACUCCCACGGCAUAUAGAGAUUCCCAGGCUAGGGGUCUAAUCGGAGCCGCAGCCACCAGCCUACACCAGAGCCACAGCAACGCGUGAUCCGAGCCACGUCUGCAACCUGCACCACAGCUCACGGCAACGCCGGAUCCUUAACCCACUGAGCAAGGGCAGGGACUGAACUCGCAACCUCAUGGUUCCUAGUCGGAUUUGUUAACCACUGCGCCACGACGGGAACUCCAGGAGUUCUUACUGUAUAUUCCUGUCUUCUUCCUUCCCUCAUCCUAACCUCUCCCCAAGGAGGUCAUCACUUGACUCCAAUGUCUUUGAUUCAGGCUGGGGAUAGAGAUCUUGGUGGUGACCUCUACAAGGCUCUGUCAUGUUCAGGAAAAUGAUGUCUACUUUUGCUCUGGCCUCUGGAAAUCUCUGGCCUUUCAUACAGUUGAGUAACGUGUGGUGAGGAGGCCUCAUGAAAAAUAAUGUUUAAAAUAAACUCAUUGUAGGUUAUUUGGGGGUAGCAUCCCAAAGAUUGGGCUGAUGUCUUGGGGGGAAGUCUUGAGUACUGUAAUUUGGAUGACACUUGCCUUCUUUGCAAAAACAUCUUUAAAGUUGAGGUCUUUUCCUUUAUCAGAUAUAUUUUUAUUUUUUUAUUUUUUAUUACUCAAUGAAUUUAUUAUAUUUGUAGUUGUACAAUGAUCAUCACAGUCCAAUUUUAUAGGAUUUCCAUCCCACAACCCCAGCACAUAUAUUUUUAAAUGCUGGAUGUUUUCUGAGACCUGGGUUUUUUGGGGUUUUUUUUGUUUUUUUUUUAACAAAGUGAAUCAAGUGAAAAUAGACUACAGACACUGAAGUUUUGAUUGAGGGUAGGCAGUGAGUCAUACAUUCUAGAGGUUAGAAACUCUAAGUAGAUACUUGGACUUGGCUUCUUUGAGUUGCUGGCUGGCCUCACUCCAUUUCAAUGGAAACAGUUGUGGUUAGUCUAAUACUAUAAAGGGACAUUUCUGCAUUUCCUUAAUAACAUAUUUUGGGGAAAUAAUUGGUGAAUUUUUGCAAAGUAGAAAUAUGAACCUCCUUAGAUGUUCAGGUAGUUAAACUUAUUCAUCAGGAUCAAAAUUUUUUUUUUUUUUGUCUUUUUAGGGUCGCACCCACAGCAUAUGGAGGUUCCCAGAGUAGGGUGGUCAAAACAGAGCUGUAACCACUGGCCUAUGCCACAGCCACAGCAAUGCUAGAUCCAAGCUGCAUCAGGAUCUAUUUUAACCACCUCAGUGGCAGAAAUAUAGUUAUGAUAAAAACAGUGCUACUCUUUAUUAACAAAUAACAUUGAAAAUGACCUUGUCUGCUCACCAAAUCAGGCGUGUGAUCUGGGGGUCCUCCCCAAUUCCCUUUAUUCUCAUUUUAUUUAUAAAUCAAAGUAAAAUGGUUUUGGUCCUCCAUGGGCAACAGUGGCCCAAGCUGUCUGACAUGACUGAAAUUGUCUCAAUGGCACCUCUUGGUUUGAUUUUUUUUUCCUUUAUGGAUCCAUUGCCCAUCUUUCUGGUCUUGGCUGCAGUCUGAACCAUCUCCAUGCUUUAUAGCACUCAUGAUGUAAGAGAAACAGUGGACUCAGGGCUUCAGUGGGUGAAUUUCUCUGAUGGUAGCCAGGGCUGAGGGUGGGAGCUACAAACACCCUUGGAAUUGACCAGCUGUGGAGCCAGGGUGCAUGGGUGGAUCCAGCCCUUCCCAUGUUGAAGGUAUGUCUGCAUGGCCCCUGGAAGCUGUGUAAACCUGAGAGAAAGGAAAACUAACUGGCAGCUUGGAGCCCAUCCGUCAAAUUCAACCUUCACUGAACUCUGGAUGAUAAUAGGACACCAGUUUUUAGUUUUAUUUGACAUGAGGACAAAUCACUGCUCCAUGUAGAACUAAAAAGUUAUUCUUUUCUUUAAUAUACCAAAAAGCUCUUUAAAUUUCCACAGCAUAUUAUAAAAAUUUAAUAUCUUAGUCUGACAUGACAUGACAUUUUAUUUCAUGGUAAACGAUUUUUAAAUUGCUUUUGGGAAAAAAAAGUUCUCUCCUGAAUCCUCCAUUUCCCUCUUUUGCAAGUAGAAUUCUGUUUUGGGUUAGGCUAAUAGUGAAGGUUUAGAGAGGCACUGCCAGAGCAUCUGUGAUAUGGCUGUGUUCUCUGAUGCCAGUGCUUAGCUGUUGCUAAGGGAGUAUAAGAAAACAGUGGCUACUCAUAUUUUAUUGAACAGGCUGCACAUAAAUUCUGACUCCAACUGGAAGAUUGGGUGCUUUAUUACAACAGAGUGACUUUCUAACCUGGAACUUGAUUUCACAUAUAGUCCAUCACGCUGAUCUCCGUUUUGACAUUCACAGCACAACUUUUUGGGUUAGAAAAAAGUUUAUAUAUUUAGGAUAUACAUUAUACAUGUACAGCCAUCAACCUGUAUCCACAACCCAUUUUAAAGGUUAGAACACAACUAUCAUCAAAGACCCUACAUGUGGUUUCUCAUUUCAUGGCAUCACCUUACUCUCUAUUACAGCUUUACCAUGAAUGCUUGUAUCGCUAAGAAUUAUGUGCUAAGUUUGCAGAUGUUUGAUAUCUAUAAAAAUUGAAUUAUAACCAGCCAUAUAUGUGUGUGUGUAUAUAUAUAUACACACACACAUACACACACACAUAUAUAUAUACAUAUUAUUUUUUUCUUUCUUUUUUCUUUUUAUCUCUUUUCUAGGGUUGUACCUGCGGCAUAUGGAGGUUCCCAGGCUAGGGGUCCAAUCGGAGCUGUAGCCGCCAGCCUUUGCCAGCCACAGCAACACCAGAUACAAGCCACGUCUUUGACCUACACCACAGCUCACAGCAACACCGGAUCCUUAACCCACUGAGUGAGGCCAGGGAUCAAACCCACAACCUCAUGAUUCCUAGUCGGAUUCGUCAACCACUGAGCCACUACCGGAACUCCUGUAUUCUUUUUUCAUAUUACCUUCCAUCAUGUGCUGUCCCAAGAGAUUAUAUAUAGUUCCCUGUGCUAUACAGCAGGACCUCAUUGCUUAUCUAUUCUAAAUGUAAUAGUUUGCAUCUACCAACUCCAAACUCUCUGUCUAUUCCACUCCCUCCUACCUCCCCCCUUGCAACCACAGGUCUCUUUUCUACGUCUGUGAGUCUAUUUCUGUUUUGUAGAUAGGUUCAUUUGUGCCAUAUUUUAGAUUCUACACAAAAUGAUAUAUGGUAUUUGUCUUCCUCUUUCUGACUUACUUCAUUUAGUAUGAGAAUCUCUAGUUGCAUCCAUGUUGCUGCAAAUGGCAUUAUUUUUUCUUUUUUAUGGCUGAGUAGUAUUCCAUUGUGUAUAUGUGCCAUAUCAUCUUAAUCCAUUCUUCUGUCGAUGGACAUUUAGAUUGUUCCAUGUUUUAGCUAUUGUGAAUAGUGCUGCAGUGAACUCUGGGAUGGAUGUAUCUUUUUGAAUUACAGUGUUGUCUGGAUAUAUGCCCAGGAGUGAGAUUUCUGGGUCAUAUGGUAGUUCUAUAUUUAGUUUUCUGAGGAACCUCUGUAUUAUUUUCCAUAGUGGUUGUACCAGUUUACAUUCCCACCAACAGUGUAGAUGGGUUCCCUCUUCUCCACACCCUCCUCAGUAUUUGUUAUUUAUAGACUUAUUAAUGAUGGUCAUUCUGGAUACUAUCAGCAGUUUUAAUUACUGCCAGUUUGGUAAGUGUCAAGUGAUAUCUCAUCUGGGUUUUAUCUUGUGUUUUUCUAAUUGCUAAUGAAAUUGGAGCAUCUUUUUGUAUGUCUGACUUGAAUCUUCAAGUCAAUUUUUGGACUAACAGAGAAGAGAUGUCAAAGAGGAAACAGAGCAAGAACUCUAUAUCUAAACCUUCACUCUGCAACUGUAACUCUGUAAUUGACCAUAACUCUGGCAACUUUCUUUCCCCUGGUGAAGCAGUUUAAAUACAUCAAAUGAACACUGCCCUUAAAUCCGCUGUUGAAUGACUUCUGUCCUUCUGAUGCUGCUCAUAGGAUUUGAAUGGAAGAAGUUAACUGGUCUACCAGCCAGGCCAUGAGAAAGCUCAGAGGACCAGAGUCUACCUUUUUGUUUUGUUUUUUGUUUUGUUUUGUUUUGUUUUGUUUUUUUUUUUGGUCUUUUUGCCUUUUUUUCUAGGGCCGCUCCCACGGCAUAUGGAGGUUCCCAGGCUAGGGGUCCAGUCGUAGCUGUAGCUGACAGCCUGCACCAGAGCCACAGCAACGGGGGAUCUGAGCCGUGUCUGCAACCUACACCACAGCUCACGACAAUACCGGAUCCUUAACCCACCGAGUAAGGCCAGGGAUCGAACCUGCAACCUCAUGGUUCCUAGUCAGAUUUGUUAACCACUGAGCCACGACGGGAACUCCCCAGAGUCUACCUUUUUGGACUGAGAGAAGCCUGUGAAUCUGUAUGUAUGUGUGAAACACAUUCUUUUUUACAAGAAAACAAAUCCACACUUUUCUUUGUCUUCUUUUCAAUAAGUUGAAAUCUUUGAGGGCUACAGCAUCACAUAGAUUCUUUGUCCAACGGCCUUAGCAAAUGCUUCAGAAUUUGCUACCAACCACAUCACUAUUUCCAUGAGCAUGAGUUACCUUUCCCCAGAUUAUGUUGGCCUUGUUUGAUUUGCCAUUAGGAGUUACUGUAAAACACAUACAUGCAACCACAUGUACAAAUGCCACAUUCAAUAAGACAAAAAUUAAAUUUGCUGGACACAAUAUAGUUUGAUAUUUCCACUCUAAGUUAUUCUAGUCCUUUCUCUUUCUCUCCUUCUUUCUUUCCUUUCUUUCAUUCCUUCUUCCCUUCUUUUCUUCUUUCUUUCCUUCCUUCCUCCCUCUUUCUCUUUCCUUCCGUCCUUUGUUCCUUUCGUUGUUCCUGCUUGGCACCAGCUAAGUGAAUUUCACCAUAUAGAAUUGUGCUGGUUCUCCAUGGGGAAAAUGGAGCUUCCAGAAAAUGUUUCAGAUAUUUGUGAGGGUAUUCAUAGUAUUUAUUGGCUAGGAACUUGACUAAAAAUGUCUUUCUAGCCCUGGGGUUUAGAGGCUGGUAUGUGGUGCUUCUCUUAUAUUAAAUGAAGGAGAAAUGAAUUUUAUACACAAUCAGCCAUGUAUCUUUGGAUUAUCAAGAGUUGACGGGCAGUCCCCAUCGUGAUGCAGUGGAAACAUGUUUUACUAGUAUCCAUGAGGAUGCAGGUUCAAUCCCUGGCCUCACUCAAUGGGUUGGGAAUCCAGCAUUGCCAUGAGCUAUGGUGCAGGUCACAGAUGUGGCUUGGAUCUAGUGUUGCUGUGGCUGUGGUGUAGGCCAGCAACUGUAGCUCCAAUUCAUCCUGGGAACUUCCAUAUGCCAUGGGUGUAUGCCUGAAAAGCAAAAAAAAAAAAAAAA